rnacentral:rRNA from 1 species
AACGAACGCUGGCGGCAGGCCUAACACAUGCAAGUCGAGCGGACCCUUCGGGGUUAGCGGCGGACGGGUGAGUAACGCGUGGGAAUAUGCCCUUCUCUACGGAAUAGUCCGGGGAAACUGGGGGUAAUACCGUAUACGCUCUUUGGGGGAAAGAUUUAUCGGGGAAGGAUUAGCCCGCGUUGGAUUAGGUAGUUGGUGGGGUAAUGGCCUACCAAGCCGACGAUCCAUAGCUGGUUUGAGAGGAUGAUCAGCCACACUGGGACUGAGACACGGCCCAGACUCCUACGGGAGGCGGCAGUGGGGAAUCUUAGACAAUGGGGGCAACCCUGAUCUAGCCAUGCCGCGUGAGUGAUGAAGGCCUUAGGGUUGUAAAGCUCUUUAAGCUGGGAAGAUAAUGACGGUACCAGCAGAAGAAGCCCCGGCUAACUCCGUG